rnacentral:rRNA from 1 species
UGCUUAAUACAUGCAAGUCGAGCGGACCGACGGGAGCUUGCUCCCUUAGGUCAGCGGCGGACGGGUGAGUAACACGUGGGUAGCCUGCCUGUAAGACUGGGAUAACUCCGGGAAACCGGGGCUAAUACCGGAUGCUUGAUUGAACCGCAUGGUUCAAUCAUAAAAGGUGGCUUUUAGCUACCACUUGCAGAUGGACCCGCGGCGCAUUAGCUAGUUGGUGAGGUAACGGCUCACCAAGGCGACGAUGCGUAGCCGACCUGAGAGGGUGAUCGGCCACACUGGGACUGAGACACGGCCCAGACUCCUACGGGAGGCAGCAGUAGGGAAUCUUCCGCAAUGGACGAAAGUCUGACGGAGCAACGCCGCGUGAGUGAUGAAGGUUUUCGGAUCGUAAAACUCUGUUGUUAGGGAAGAACAAGUACCGUUCGAAUAGGGCGGUACCUUGACGGUACCUAACCAGAAAGCCACGGCUAACUACGUGCCAGCAGCCGCGGUAAUACGUAGGUGGCAAGCGUUGUCCGGAAUUAUUGGGCGUAAAGCGCGCGCAGGCGGUUUCUUAAGUCUGAUGUGAAAGCCCCCGGCUCAACCGGGGAGGGUCAUUGGAAACUGGGGAACUUGAGUGCAGAAGAGGAGAGUGGAAUUCCACGUGUAGCGGUGAAAUGCGUAGAGAUGUGGAGGAACACCAGUGGCGAAGGC